UACGGAGGAGGCAAGCGUUAUCCGGAAUUAUUGGGCGUAAAGGGUACGUAGGCGGCUGGUCAAGUCUGGGGUCAAAGGCCACAGCUCAACUGUGGGAAGGCCCUGGAAACUGACCGGCUAGAGUGAGGUAGGGGUUGCGGGAAUUCUCGGUGUAGCGAUGAAAUGCGUAGAGAUCGGGAAGAACACCUGAGGCGGAAGCGCGCAACUGGGCCUCAACUGACGCUGAGGUACGAAAGCUAGGGGAGCGAAUGGG
rnacentral:rRNA from 1 species